UUUUUAUUUGAUUUAUUCUAGCUAGGUUUGCAAGUUUUAUGAACCCUGUUGGUUCUCAGCUUUUAAUUUUUAUGCAUGUUUUUAGGGUUUUAAUGAAUGAAGUCAUCUUUGAUGUCAUCACCCAGGUUUUGUAAAGUCAAGAUAAGAAGUUGAUGCUAAUUGGAACAGAUAUCCUGAUUCUCUUCUUGAAUCAAGAUCCUAUUCUUUUGCAAUCCUAUAUAUGUUGUUCGGCAAGAAGGAAUAACACUUCUUGGACUUUUGGUAUACUUUGUAUGUGAAUAAGAUCACAUUUUUCGUAUGACAUACAUGUAUAAAAUUACUCAUAAGGUAUUUAUUAGACAUGUUAUCCUGUUUAGGUUAAGGGAAUGAUAACAGAGUUUGGGGACAACAUGCAUUGCCAGUUUCUUGGGAUCCUUCACAGUCUAUUAGACAUGAAUGUUUUUGGAUGAACUUUCCAUUUUUUUUAAAUUUUACUUAUAAAUAAAUAGUGAGGUAAACUUUUUUAUUUGAUUACAAGUUUUAUAGAUAUGAAAACAUAGUGAUUUGAGUUAACACAUGAUUGAUCUUUAGCCUUCAGCCACAAAUAACUAAAGUGUAUUGGUACAAGAAAGUUACUUAUAUUUGUAGUAGUUUGAGGUUUUAAUUUCUUCUUGAGUGUAUCAGAAACCUUAUGUUGGAUUAGCAAUUUGUUUAUUUAUUCAUUAUCCUGACAUGACAUGACUAUUCUUGAUUUUUAAGUUUAAAAUGGAGGAGUUGAGAGAGAAGCUCCAUGCAUUCUUUAUAGUACAUGUGUAUUUAUUUUUAGAUUGUAAUUCUUCUGCUAAAAUAAAAUUAUGAUCUUCUUAGUUGGUAAUGUAGUUUAUCCAGGGUUGAUGUUGCUAUCAUAUACCAAAAAAAUCACUGUCUGAAACUCAUGCAGUUGAAUUUAUUCUUGCUAGUUCGGAUUCUGAAUUGUGCAUCUUUUAAUUAUUAGAGGAGAUGUCAGUUAGUAGUCUUAUUUUGCAUUUCAAAUCGACUUGUUAAAAGAUAAGUUUGGAUGUUGAGUAGUAAUUUAUUACACAUCCUCUGAAUUGUUGAAAAAACUUCUCUUUCACAUUAGAUGGAAGUCCUUUUCUAGGUUAAUAAGAUAUGUAUCCAUGGACUUGUUUUAUUGAUUGUUUCAGUUUUAUCUGGCAGAGGGACACAAUUAUUGAUAUUUUCUUUUAGUAGCAUUUUGGUCAACUGGUUGAAGUUAUUGCAUCCAGAAUGGCAGCAGUGAAAACAUCAAUAUUGAGGGCGAGAAACGAGACGACACGGUGACGCAAAGAGGUCAGCGAGCGGCGCGGCGACGAGAUGGAGGCCGACGAGAGGCAGCAACAGAGAAGGUUAAGCCUUUGCGCUCGUGCUGGCCAUAACCAUAUAACUUUGAAGAUGGAGAGGAGACCGUCUGCAAGGUUAGAGAAGAGAAGCAAAAGGGAUGUAGAUAGGGUCUUCAAUUUUGGCCAUUUGAUUAUUUCUAUGCUUUUAUGGUCAGGUUGAGAAGCUUAUUAAGAAAUCAAAGUUUUGAACUCGAGAUUUAUUUUGUAUUUGAGUAUUAAUGUAUAAAACAAUUAUAGCAAAAA